rnacentral:rRNA from 1 species
CUUGGAGGGUCCAGUCUCGGAGUGCCAGCCAGCCGGCGGUGCAUUCCAUCAUCCAUUCAUAGCGUAUAUUACCAUAGUUGUUGCAGUUAAUAAGCUCGUCAGUUGAAUGUCUCCGGGGUCAGCAGGUUGGUCGUCGCCUCUGGUACGCACUGGUUUCGCUGAUUCCUCCUUUCUGAAGUAACUGUAGUGUCAUGCUAAUUUGGUGUUGCAGGGCAACUGGACUGUUACUUUGCACAAAUUCCGAGUGUUUAAUCGCAAGCUAACGCUUGAAUACAUUAUCAUGGAAUAAUGAAAUAGGACGUUUGAUCCUAUUUUGUUGGUUUCUAGGAUUGACGUACUGAUUACUAUGGGAUAGCUUGGGGGCAUUAGUAUUCAAGUUGUCAGACGGUGAUCAUUCUCUGGACUUUAUGUGAAGACUAACUACUGCGAAAGCAUUUGCCAUGGAUGUUUUCAUUAACUCAUGAACGAAAGUUCAGGGGAUCGACCAGACGAUCCGUAUACCGGUCGUAGUCUGUAACCAUAAACUCUGUCCGGCUCAGGGCUCGGAUGAUGAUCUCAAUUUUUUAAUCGAACUCUCAUUCGUCAGCCUGUACGGGAAA